UAUGUUAAUAGCAUACUCAUUUGACGUUAGCUGCAGAAGAAAGCACCGGCUAACUCCGUGCCAGCAGCCGCGGUAAUACGGAGGGUGCGAGCGUUAAUCGGAAUUACUGGGCGUAAAGACGCAUGCAGGUGGUUUGUUAAGUCAGAUGUGAAAGACCCGGGGCGUCAACCUCGGAAUUGCAUUUGUAAACUAGGCAAACUAGAGUACUGUAGAGGGGGUAGGAAGUUUCUAGGUGUAGCGGUGAAAUAGCGUAGAGAUCUGAAGGAAUACCGGUGGCGAAGGCGGCCCCCUCGGACAGAUACUGACACUCAGAUGCGAAAGCGUGGGGAGCAAACAGGAUUAGAUACCCUGGUAG
rnacentral:rRNA from 1 species